rfam:Ancylostoma duodenale strain Zhejiang A_duodenale-1.0_Cont252345.1, whole genome shotgun sequence.
GGUUAUAACCCAGUAUCUCAAGGUACUAAGGGCGUCCGACCUACCACUUGCGGUUGCGUCGAAAACUUCAAUUUUUGGACAGUCUUCCCGGGGUAUCCGAGAAGGCAAC